rnacentral:lncRNA from 10 species
CGGUCUCCGCGUCUUGAUGGUAGUGGUCCCCUGGGCCCAGCUGCUUUCUCUUUAUCUCUUUGUCUUGUGUCUUUAUUUAUUACAAUCUCUCAUCUCCACACACAGGGAGAACACUUGCUAAGCCCCGUAGGGCUGGGCCCUACAGGCUGCAGUGCUUCCCAGCAGAUAGAUCUUCUCAGUAGGGGAAGCAUAUUAUAGAGUAGCAGCUGAAAGCAUGGUACCUGGCAUCUAUAGCCACACGACCUGAGUUUGCGACCCAGCUCCAUAGCUACAAGACCAAGAGAAGAAUCUUCAAGUGGACUUCAGGCGGAUCCUACUCCAUGUACUUUCACAAGAGAUCUAGUCCCUUCCUUGCAUUCGAGGCCUCUCCAGCAUCUGAACAAGGAAAUAACAUUGGGACUGCUAUCUGCUGAAGUCUCUGCUGCAGCAAAUGGUACUGUGGCCACCAGUGGGAGGGGCAUACUCUACAAUCUCCUCCGAAAAUGUCGUGCCUAUCCUUAAGGGGAGAGAGAUGAUACAGGGUAUCUAUAUCAAGGAGCAGGAAUCUUGGGGACCAUCUUAGAAUUCUACUGCCACAAUGGACACCUGAGAUAUUUCCAAGUUGUGCCUAUCAUGAAUAAAGCUGCUGUGAACAUUCUAGUAUAGGACAAAAGGAUGAAAAGAAGUUUGAAGUCUGUCUUCUGUCUUUUAAUCUUAUUUAUAAUUUUUAAAUAAAAGGUUUCUAAUUUCAAUGG